rnacentral:rRNA from 1 species
AGAGUUUGAUCAUGGCUCAGAACGAACGCUGGCGGCGUGCCUAACACAUGCAAGUCGAACGUGAUUAGAGAGCUUGCUCUCUAUGAAAGUGGCGCACGGGUGAGUAACGCGUAGAUAAUCUGCCUGAUGAUCGGGGAUAACACUUCGAAAGGGGUGCUAAUACCGGAUAAGCUCACGGAGUCUUUGGAUUCUGCGGGAAAAGGGGGGGACCUUCGGGCCUUCUGUCAUCAGAUGAGUCUGCGUACCAUUAGCUAGUUGGUAGGGUAAAGGCCUACCAAGGCGACGAUGGUUAGCUGGUCUGAGAGGAUGAUCAGCCACACUGGAACUGAGACACGGUCCAGACUCCUACGGGAGGCAGCAGUGGGGAAUUUUGCGCAAUGGGGGAAACCCUGACGCAGCAACGCCGCGUGAGUGAUGAAGGCUCUUGGGUCGUAAAGCUCUGACAGAGGGAAAGAAGUGUAUUGUGGCUAAUAUCCACGAUACUUGACGGUACCCUCAAAGGAAGCACCGGCUAACUCCGUGCCAGCAGCCGCGGUAAUACGGGGGGUGCAAGCGUUGUUCGGAUUUAUUGGGCGUAAAGCGCGUGUAGGCGGUUUGUUAAGUCUGUUGUGAAAGCCCUGGGCUCAACCCGGGAAGUGCACUGGAUACUGGCAAACUUGAAUACGGGGGAGGAGAGUGGAAUUCCUGGUGUAGGAGUGAAAUCCGUAGAUAUCAGGAGGAACACCGGUGGCGAAGGCGGCUCUCUGGACCGAUAUUGACGCUGAGACGCGAAAGCGUGGGUAGCAAACAGGAUUAGAUACCCUAGUAGUCC